UGCUAUUGGGAUUCGAUUUAGCCAUGCUAGUCGCACGAGUUUAGACUCGUGGCAGAUAGCUCAGUAACACGUGGCCAAGCUACCCUUCAGACCAGAAUAACCUCGGGAAACUGAGGCUAAGACUGGAUACGGUAUGCACGCUGGAAUGCGGCAUACUCCAAACGUUCCGACGCUGAAGGAUGCGGCUGCGGCCGAUUAGGUAGACGGUGGGGUAACGGCCCACCGUGCCAAUAAUUGGUACGGGUGAUGAGAGUCAGAGCCCGGAGACGGAAUCUGAGACAAGAUUCCGGGCCCUACGGGGCGCAGCAGGCGCGAAACCUUUACACUGCACGCAAGUGCGAUAGGGGAAUCCCAAGUGCGAGGGCAUACUAGCCCUCGCUUUUGUUGACUGUAAGGAGGUCAACGAAUAAGAGCUGGGCAAGACCGGUGCCAGCCGCCGCGGUAAUACCGGCAGCUCGAGUGAUGUCCAAUAUUAUUGGGCCUAAAGCGUCCGUAGCUGGCCAGCCAAGUUCGUCGGGAAAUCCACCUGCCCAACAGGUGGGCGUCCGGCGAAAACUGUCUGGCUUGGAACCGGAAGGCUCAGAGGGUACGUCCGGGGUAGGAGUGAAAUCCCGUAAUCCCGGACGGACCACCGAUGGCGAAAGCACUCUGAGAAGACGGAU
rnacentral:rRNA from 1 species